AAGAACAAAUGUGUAAGUAACUGUGCACAUCUUGACGGUACCUAACCAGAAAGCCACGGCUAACUACGUGCCAGCAGCCGCGGUAAUACGUAGGUGGCAAGCGUUAUCCGGAAUUAUUGGGCGUAAAGCGCGCGUAGGCGGUUUUUUAAGUCUGAUGUGAAAGCCCACGGCUCAACCGUGGAGGGUCAUUGGAAACUGGAAAACUUGAGUGCAGAAGAGGAAAGUGGAAUUCCAUGUGUAGCGGUGAAAUGCGCAGAGAUAUGGAGGAACACCAGUGGCGAAGGCGGCUUUCUGGUCUGCAACUGACGCUGAUGUGCGAAAGCGUGGGGAUCAAACAGGAUUAGAUACCCUGGUAGUCCACGCCGUAAACGAUGAGUGCUAAGUGUUAGGGGGUUUCCGCCCCUUAGUGCUGCAGCUAACGCAUUAAGCACUCCGCCUGGGGAGUACGGUCGCAAGACUGAAACUCAAAGGAAUUGACGGGGACCCG
rnacentral:rRNA from 1 species